CUGCAUGCAAUGUUUUUGUCCGGAGACAGGAGUAACAACUGCAGAUUAUGAGUUACCUGCGUGCUGUGAAAGCAUUUCUGCAAACAUCCUGUGGAUAUUUGUUCUGGGUCACAUUUUGUGACUUCAGAUAUUGUGUCUACGUGGUGUGCUGUAAACUGUGAAGUCACUGGUGGAUAGGCGACAGGAAGUGUUAGAGAGAGAGAGAUGGGGGGAGGGGAUCGGGAAAGGUCCGCGAGUGGGACUCCAACUCGGGUCACCCGAAGCACAACUAUAUGUCGGCACGCUGCCCACGAGGCUAUCGACACUGACAAAUGUUAAUAUUUGUUGAUUAGAAGCAAGACUUCAAUUAGUGUAAAUCAUUAAUAAAUAGUAUAUGUGUCGAAAA